UACAGAGGGUGCAAGCGUUGUUCGGAAUUAUUGGGCGUAAAGCGCGUGUAGGCGGCUUUGCAAGUCGGGUGUGAAAGCCCUCAGCUCAACUGAGGAAGUGCGCCCGAAACUGCAGAGCUUGAGUACCGGAGAGGAUGGCGGAAUUCCCCAAGUAGAGGUGAAAUUCGUAGGUAUGGGGAGGAACACCGGUGGCGAAGGCGGCCAUCUGGACGGAUACUGACGCUGAGACGCGAAAGCGUGGGUAGCAAACAGG
rnacentral:rRNA from 1 species